rnacentral:lncRNA from 1 species
ACCCAGACCUCCUCCUGGAUUGUGGGGGAUGAGGAGCACCGAGUCCUCUCGCCGCGGCGGAGCUCAGCUCCCGGCAAAUGACAUGUUCACACAUGAAUGCUGUUUUGUGGUGGGGAAGAAAAUAGAUCUCUCCAGCCAGCAGCUGUCCCCGAGGAGGAGCUCUGAGAGGACAUGGGCUGUGCUAACUACAGCCACGUAUCUGUAACGAGAAGCGCUGCGGGAGAGAAGAGCAAGUCCGGGGCAUCUUAUUUUAGGUUAAGGAAAACAACAAGGAAAGGAAGAGCAAAUAUAACUCCCCAGGAGACAGCAAGCCCGCUGUGUCUGCCUCGGCAAGGACCUGUGCCUUGGACGUCUGUAAAACUCAAACCACUGACGUCCUGCGGAGGGGAGAGAAGUCAACAACUCUCCACGGCCACGCAGCCUACAAAGAGGGAAAGUUCAAAAGAAACAUUAACCAGGAACAAGUCUCUGGGCUGAGAACCAGGAGAUCUGACACUGCUUCACCAGUCCUGACUGAGCAGAGCUGUGGGGUGACUGGGAACAAGCCCAGUUCCCUCCCAGCAUGUCUGCUCCCUGUCCUGCUCUUUGGCUGUUUGAAUCAAAAACCUGGACAGGCACUGGCUCUCUAAAUCUACCUCCACACACUUACAAUACAAAAACCAGACCCAGCCAUUUCUUCCCACUGUAAUGUCACCCACCUCUAGGAAAGCUCCUCCAGAGUUUCAAGGGCUGUUCCUGCAGUUGGAGCCACUCCAACUGGAAGUUUUGUGGCAAGGUGGAGAAAAUCUGGCUUCCCUUUGGAAUCUGAUCAUUCAUUUUUUUUAUCUUAUCUUGAGCCAGGCUGAUGGAGAACUCUGAGUAUGGAUGAGGAUGCAUGAAGGUCCCUUCACCUACAUGAAAUGGAGAACGUGGGAGCUUGCUCUGAAGAUACAAGAAACUAGGAGCUCACAGAAGGGUAAGAGAGAGGCAAAGAGGGAUCCAGGAAUGAGGGGAAUGGAAGAAACACUUGGACAUUUUCUAGGAUGUGUUACACC